GUUUGGGAAUGUAGCUCAGUGGUAGAGUGCCACAUGCCUAGCAUGUGGAAGGCCCUGGGUUCAAUCCCUGGCAAAACA
rnacentral:tRNA from 1 species